rnacentral:lncRNA from 1 species
AGCUCUUUCAUUGCAUGUAUUUAUACUUAUCCUCACUAUAUUAUGCAGAUUGAAGAUCGCCGAAUUGAAGAAAAGACAAAUCGGUGAUACUGGGUUCAUUAACACAAAUCUCAUAGAUGCAUAUACGGUUGAAAAAAAUCCCAAAGAAGCCGAGGCCAACUUGCUACAAUCAUUGGUAUUAAAUCAAAACAAAGAUAUAAUACUCUUUCCUUACAACUUCAAGUGAGUGUUACUGUCUUGUGCAUAUUCGGUUUCCCUUAUUAGUCCAGGUUAUGGUUAUGUAAUUGAUGACUUAUGCAUGCAUGCGCAGCUUCCACUAUAUUCUCCUAGAGUUUAAGCUUGAGCCGGGAGUAGUAACCGUCUUAGACUCGAGACGAAAAGAUCCCCAGGACUAUGUGAACAUGACUCAAAUGCUCCAGAAGUAAGUUAAAUCGAUCAUUAUCCAACAUAUCAGCAACUUUGUUCAUUUCCUGAUAUCAAGUAAUUGUUUUCUUUGUCUGGCAGGGUUUGGAGAAAAUUCACCUCAAAGCUCCGGGACUCCCGAAGAAGCUGCAAUUUAGACACCCGAAAGUAAGUACCAUAGUAGCAUGUUCCGCGCAUCUCCUAGUGAUUCAAGCGCUAGUUUCAUCAAUACCAUUUAGCAUGCUUGCUUAUCAGUUUGAUUGACCUCUAUUUCUUGUAAAGUGGUUGUAGCAGGAACCCGGGAAUAAUUACUGUGGAUACUACGUUUGCGAGUCCAUCCGCCACACGACCUGUGAGCGGGGCUACACUGAAGAACAAUAUGAAGUGCGUAAGCAAUAAUAUUGACAAUUUUAUUUUAUUACCAUCAUUUGUGUUGAGUUUCAUUUAUUCAUAUAUAUAUAUAUAUAUAUAUAUGUAUUGACCCCCUUCUUCAAAUUAGAUCUUUCGGAUGCGGGAUGAACUCCCAGCAGAACAUCGUAUGCGAGCAAUUCAAGAGGAAUUGGCGGCAUUCUUCCUUGACCACGUGAUCACUGAAAACGGAGAAUACUAUGUGGACCCUGUGUUCCUACAAUAUAAUUAGGAGAUUGUAUUGUAAGAGAUAAUUAUUGUAUAUAUGUAGCCGGUAGUGUCGGAUAGAUAUACGAGAACUUUUUGUUCGACCAAUAUAUCGGAGAAGGAGAGGUGGUCGAUAUCACUUCUCUCUGUAUGCAUAUGUUCAUGACGAUCUUCUGUUUCCUUCAUUUGAUUACUAGCUGGCGUGUCUACUCCUCUCCAUACGUAUAUAGUACGUAGCGUCGACCAAGCACGGAGAUAAGAGAGGACACUUCUCUCUAUUAAUUAGCUAGCUAACACAAUAUAUGAAACACCUAAAUUAACCACCCAAAACCCCUAAACCACCCCUUUCAAAAAAAAACAAAAACCUCAGCUCCUGCCAGGUGCUGACGCGUGGAUGCCUAUUGAUCCCGAUUGGUGACACCAACCGGGACAAAAGGCCCUCCUGCCUGGGCUCCCCGCACCGGCCACGUGUACGGCCUUUAGUCCCGGUUCGUGUAAGAACCGGGACUAAAGGGCUAGGGCAUUAGUAACGACAAUUUAGUCCCGGUUCCAGAACCGGGACUAAAGGCCCUUAUGAACCGGGGUAAAAGCCACUUUUCCUACUAGUGAUGGCUGGUGGCUGCGCUGUUGGAGGUAGUGGUGGCGCCGAUGCUUCAACUGGAACAUACAUAAAAAAAAAGUUAAUAUUGUUGAUGCAAUGGAUUUUGUGCGUGAACAAGUCAGAACAUAUUCAUGGACUACAAACCAUUUUUGUCAGUGUGGCCAUUCAAGAUCGACAACAGCAUUGAUAUUUCCUUUUGCUGGUAUGGGUCAUUAGCUACUGGAGGCCAGUUGAUGUUUAAAUUCAGUGGGGCUUCGUUGGAGUCCUCAACUGUACACAUCGCUCGCUCCGAUAUAACGAUGCUUGCCAUGAGUUUGAGCACCCACUCGCCAGCGUGGCGGCGCAAACUGAAAAUAGGAUGAAACGAAACUAGGGUUGCUACAUGCAUUUCAGGGAUAAUUAGCAUGAGUAAGCUAGAAUUAAUGAAUGAGUCUUAGACACUUACUUUAUGUAUUCGGUCGUGGUCUGUUCGCCAAUGUAAUGGCGAUCAAGGAUAGCAUGUUCAAACGUUCCACGAGUCUUACUGGCAUGGAGAAAGAGGCGGAAUAGUCGAGUCUCUGCAAAAUUACAUUUGGAAAUUUUAUCAAGGAAUGAAUGUUGCGAUCAGCCUUGCAAGGUACGUACUAGAAAUUUAUCCAGGAUGAAAUGAGUUUAAGUUGCGACAAGUGUCUUGCAGGAAAUAUAGUACAAGCUGAGUGGGUGAACGCAUGCAUGCAUGCUUACCAUUUCGGGACCUGAUUUCCCUGACGACAAAGCAGUCGGUGCAUUGCAGUCGCCCUGGAAUGAGAGGCACGAAUCCUUCUUCAUCCACCUCCCACGAGCCUACCUUGGGGGCGCCAUUGCUACCGCUUCCACCGGUUUGGUAUAGUUUGUCCACCAUGAUCGGCUGCUGCCGGCUGCCGGCUGCCGGCUGUUUGGUUCAGUUCGUGCUCCAGGAGGCCAACUUCCGGAGCACCAAUGGCGCCGCUGCCUCCUGUUUGGUUUACUUUGUCACCGAUGAGCGCUCUGCAAUGUCAUAAUGACCAUGCCGCGCGAAUAACUCAGGGUCCAUCAGCUGGAGACUGUCCGUGGAAGAAAAGGUCGGCCGGCCUAGUAUUUGUUGGUGUAGGUCGGCUCGCCUAGUAUUUGUUGGUGUAGGGCGGCCGUCCCCGGCACCUGAUUGGAGGGCGCCGCCUGGAUAUUGGGCUGAGCGUGAGCGAGGGGCGGCGGCAUCAGCAUAGGCGGACGACUCGCCCGUGUUGAACCUCUUGGAUCGGGUAGGCUAGAAUUCCGGCAACAGUGGUGAUAGGUAUUACCUUCUCCUGUGCCUGAAGAGCUGCCGCCGGUGGCCAUGGUGGGAUGGUGGCGACUGCGGUGGCAGAGAGUGGGUGAAGUGGUGACGGCGCCUCCCGUCAGCACUGCACUAACCCUAGAUCGGUAGGGAUGUAGGUGGGGUGUACGGCGUUGCGACGAACCUCGUAUCACGAGCCGCCUACCCCACCUCUUUAUAUAUAGUGCAGGUGACAUGGGCCCGUCAACCAUAGUGGGUAGAGCGCCCCCGAUCAGGGCGCGGAUCUAAGGGCCCGGUGGGCCGUUGGGCCCACACGGUGGAGAUCAUCCUAACAUUCUUCCCCUUGAUCUCAACUUUUACUUUUGACCUUAUACUUUUACUUUACUCGUUUCAUAACAGAUCAGUACAUAGAACAUGUUUUAUCGUCACAGCUCAAUUGCCGAUAGAAUCAGACAGCCACAACGUACCUCUCAGUUUUGAAACAAAUUCUUUAACCUUGGGCCCUUUUAUUGUCCGGAAAUUUUAGACUAUACCAUAAAACCCAUGUCGACUGUGUGUUCUCCAAACACACUGGGCGGUAAGCCUUUAAUAAGUAGAUCUGCAAAAACUUGCUUGUUGCUUUUAUGCUCCAAGCAUUUCAACAUAAUUCCGGACUUUUCUCCUUAACAACGUACAACUUUGUGUCAAUGUGUUUGGCACCACACUUGACUCGUUGUCAUAGGAGUGAAUUACUUAAAUGGUUAUCGCUGCUGCAACCAUUAUCAACUCCGGGUACAGGUUUCCAUAACGAUUUUGCCUGUCCCUCAGCCUCAUAUCAUGCUAUACUUUAUAUUUGCAUCACAUUGAUGAUAAAUGAUUCAUUCUAUAGAGUUCUUCCACACAAAAACUCCUAAUGUGAAGGUCAACGACAAUUGUGGAUUUCGCUGUACAUUUCACAAGUUUUUAUCUUUGUACUCACAACCUUUUGAGAGCACUUGUUUCUUUCAGCAUGAGGCCGAUCUCUUUGACUCCAUUCCAUCAAUUUAAAUAUGUACUGGACAUUGCCAAAACAACCCGGAUAUGUGAACUAUGUCACGGUAAUGUUAAACUUUUGCAUUCAUAAAGCUUCCAACAGCUGAAGCAUAUGGUACCAUAUUCAUUUGGUCUAUUUCACAUUGACUCUUGGAACACUAAAGUUCCCAAAAUCAUUACCCUUUACUAUAAGAACAGGCGUAGGUUUUCUCACAUGCAUACUUUAGAGACUUUUCAAAGUAUGCUCAUGCGACACUCCUAAUACCCCCUUUUUUUCUUGGUGAAUCUCAAUAAUUAUAACGAGAGUCACUCUACUGAGAACAUUCUUUUGAACUUUGAGAACAAGAACUUCUUUUCUCCUGCUGCAGUAGAUUGACAUCACCAUUAGCAUGUAGGACGUCAUGCACAUGCACAGGAUUAGGAAAUAAAUUUCCCGUUCUAUAACUUUGCAUGAAUACAAUUGUCUUCUCAUUUUCUUUAACCCAAAAAACAUCUGAUUCUUCUAACUUUAAAUGCCACUGUCUGGAGACUUGCUCUAGUCCACAAAAGACUUCUUGAAGAAGUAUCCCUUGUGUUCUUUACUUUCAUCUGAUGUAACUCAGAUCAUGAUGUCGAUCAUGAUGUGCCACUGACAGGCAAAUUGAUCCUAUAGUCUUUCAUCUCCAAGAAGCAAUAGGUAUUACAUGACCUGUAUCACAAAAUCCAUGUUUACUCAUUCCUCCUUUAUGGAGCUAACAACAGGUGUUGUAUAAGUCAUACAACAUGCUCCCCCAGAUACAAUCUAUUUGAGUCUUAGGUAUUUUCAUACCAUGCUCCCCCAGAUUACUCCAUCUUUACUAAAAAUGGCGUAUCUUUAAACUUUAUUAUUUGGGUUUAUUCUGUUAAAACUUUCUUCUUUAUGGCACUUUAAGCACCGUCUUAGUAUUCCUUAGUCUGCUUUCGGAACUGUAAAAGAUCCAGGAAUACAUCUAUUUCUUUUCUUUAGGGGUAUUAUUAUGAUCGUCGUACUCCCCCAGAUGAUCACAUUCUUUAUUAAUGGAUAUCUCAUAUUUCUUUCUCCCCCUCGAAAUGUGGCAAGAACUUUCCACAAUUUCGAAAAACCAUUCACAACUCUUGUGAAUUGAGGAAACUUUGAGUAUCUACUUCAUGUAUCUGAUUACUUCAUAUGUAAUGAAGUUAUCUGUUAACGGUAUGGGAGUACUUUUUCCUUAUUCCUCAUUCCAUUUUGGAAACUCAAAAUAGUUCUUUAUCAUUAGUACUUUUGCAAGUCACACUUGCAUAUCAUUCUUAUAUUUAGGUUCGUCUGUAACUUUUAUUCUCUUUGGAUUUAUUGAGUGCUUAAUGACCGUUGCACAUAAGGUGUACGGUCGAUACUAGGAAAGCAUAAUAGCUACUCCAUACUUUUCUCCCAGAGUGGGACACAUUAAACGCACAUGAGUCAUCAUAUCUUUCUCCUGUCACACAGGAUAAGUCUUAGCCAAAAUUUCUCCUGACGUAUAGGAUUUUUGACAUAAUACUAUGUCAACUUUACCCAGUUAUGCAGGUAUUUUCCCAGACUUUCCCCGCCAUGCGGGUUUUAUCAUAAUCCUCUUUUCCCGCUAUGCGGGUAAUUCCGUGUAAGGAACAUAAAUGCCAGAAUUGGCUCUUUUGACUGCAUAUGCAAUCAUGAAAUUCAGAAAUAAAUCCGAGCGCUCUUUGACACACAUGCUUAAUCCGACGUUGGUCAAAUUAAACACGCAUGUUGCUUGUUUCAUCUCAAAUCGUGUUGACUGAAAAAUCUUCUUCAUAUAGGAUACAUGAAAGACAUUCAUCAACCAAGACUCUCAAUGAUCUAUUUGUUUUCUUUUCUUGGAUUAAUAUCAAAGAAUUUUUUUCUUUUGAAGCCAUUCUUUAGAGAGAACAUACUCCCUCACGUUAUGACCUUUCUUGGUCAUCUUUCGGGUAACAAGUACCCAGCCAUUCGCUUUCACGAAUGAAAGCAUGGAAAACUUUUAGUCUGAGAAAACUUAGCCAAUAAUCAACAAUAAUGAGCAUAAAAAAUAACCCUACGUUGGUCUGGUUAAAAAAUAUGCACAUUAAACUUUUUAAAACUUCCUUUUUAUACUCUAAAUCACCGUUGUGGUAGAAUUAGAAUAAAACUCAUUCUUCUACAUUAAUUCCAUAUCACCGUUGGGCGAAAAUGGAAAUAAUGCAUAUAACUCAUAAACAAUGUGAUGAUAGUAUUUCUAUUAAACAACUUUGCUAAGAAAUAAUAAUCAUCAUCAACUUUAUUGCAGCGGAAAUAAGAAAUAUACAUUCCUCUAGUUCAAGAGCAUUUCUUCAUCUUUAACUCUUCUCUAAAAAAUGAUCACUUUGAUACAAAAUUUAUCAGAGAUUUAAGCUUUGAACAUAAGACUCAUAGAAUUAUAAUACCGUUAUCAUCAACGUUGGUCAGAAAAUAACAAUACCAUAUUUUAACUUUAAAGAAAUAUCUCUCUUUUAUCAUAACAGAAACUAUCUGCAUCUUAUUUCACCUGCAUCUUAUUUCACCCACAGGGGAAAAACAAUGCUAAGAACAGUUCUUCCAAUUAAAUUUUCCCGUUGGUUCCAAUUUAAUUGGAGGAUAAAACUUUUACUUUGCAGCGGAAACUUUACAAUAUUCUAUUCAAAAACAAUUCUGUGCUCUUCUACUCUCUAAGCAAUUUUAACCGGUUGGUUCAAAAAUGCAUUAGAGAAGCAACAAUUUAAUCUUUUACUUUAGUUCUAUUCAGUUAUGAAAGAGCACUUAUUUUUAUUUGUGGCAGAAAAAGAUGAAUAAAAAAUCAUGAACUUUUUCUUUUCAGAGGCAUUACUUUUACUUUUCUAUUUUCUAAACAUAAACUUUAUUUGAAUAGAAAAACUAUACUGUAAUUUGCCCAAAAAACUGGACAAAAAAUAAUAUAAAGGAAAAAUACACGCCAGCAGGCCAAAAAGCCCACAGAGCGCGCCCGCUCGCGGCGCACGGCCUGCCGGGCGAGCUCCGCUCGGCCGCCCGAGCUGCUCGGCCAACGGCCCACCGCGGCAAUGCGGCUGAGGCCAGGUCGGCCGGACCAAAAGGCCCAAGGCACUUUCGGCCUACUGGCCCGUCUGUGGAUCUAGGGGUUUCAUCUUGGCCGUUCAAUCUGAUCCUACGGUAAAGCACCGUUUUCGGUAGAUCAAAACUCGGAGGAGCCGAUCCCCCCGACCGAAACCCUAGCCACUCGCUCGAUUUGUCUGCCUCUUCUCUCUCUCGAUCUCUUUCUCUCCCGUGGCCAGAGACGGCGACUGCCCGGCCGCCGGCGUCAGCGCCGAGGCUGCCGCGCCGCGCUUGGCUUCUUUCUCCCUUCCCCCUUCUCUCUUUCACCUUUUUGUGACAGAGAGAGACUCGAUGCGGGCUGACCUCCUCUGCUCCACUCGCGCCCGACGGCGAUGGUUCGGCCGCCGGCGACGGCGCCGAAGGCUACCGUGCCGGCGCCGGCCACUCUCUCCAUCCCCCUUCCCUCUUUCCACUUCUUUCUUCGUUCUCCUGCUUGCGAGAGAGUGAGAGAUGCUGCGGGUAAGAGCCACGCCGGCCGCCGGCGAUGGCGUCGCGCGAGCACCCUUUCUCUUCUUUUCCCCUUCCCCUUUUUGUUCUUUAGACAGAGAGAGAUACGAGGUCGAGCCCUCCUCUGCUCCCCUUGUAUUCGACACGGCGGAGCGGUCGACGGUGGCGCCGUUGCCAUCCCUUUCGCCGGUCGCGCGUUCCCUUACGGUGAGCGCGCCGCCGUCGAAAGGUUUGGCCGCGGUGCCCUUUGCCCCUCUCGGGGUGGUUCUUCGUCCGGACGGCUCGGCUUGCCGAUGCCCGUUCGGAUCGAGAGGAACUGGCGCGGCCGGAGUGGCGGCGCCACUUUUCCGGUGAGGCCCGAGGCCCUUCUCCGGUGAUUUACUUUGCCCUGUCUAGGGUUCUUGGGGGGAGGGAGGGAUCUUUCUUUUUCUGUGUAAUCUUUGUACCGAAAAAUCUUAGCCUAGCAUGGCUCUGAUACCAUUGUUGAACCUCUUGGAUCGGGUAGGCUAGAAUUCCGGCAACAGUGGUGAUAGGUAUUACCUUCUCCUUUGCCUCAAGAGCUGCCGCCGGUGGCCAUGGUGGGAUGGUGGCGACUGCGGUGGCAGAGAGUGGGUGAAGUGGUGACGGCGCUUCCCGUCAGCACUGCACUAACCCUAGAUCGGUAGGGAUGUAGGUCGGGUGUACGGCGUUGCGACGAACCUCGUAUCACGAGCCGCCUACCCCACCUCUUUAUAUAUAGUGCAGGUGACAGGGGCCCGUCAACCAUAGUGGGUUGAGCGCCCCCGAUCAGGGCGCGGAUCUAAGGGCCCGGUGGGCCGUUGGGCCCACACGGUGGAGAUCAUCCUAACAGCCCGGUGUUUGCUGGUGUUGGACGGGCGGUGGCCCCGGAGCCACUGCCGACUGUUUCGUUAACUUGGUGCUCCAUGAGGCCAACGUCCGGAGCACGAAUGGCGCCGCUGCCGCCUGUUUGGUUUACUUUGUCUCCGAUAAGCGCCUCCGCAAUGUCAUAAUGACCAUGCCGCGCGAAUAACUCAGGGUCCAAUCAGCUGGAGACUUUCCGGGAAAGAAGAGGUCGGCUGGCCUAGUAUUUGUUGGUGUAGGGCAGCCAUCCCCGGCACCUUAUCGGAGGACGCCGCCUGGAUAUUGGGCUGAGCGUGAGCGAGGGGCGCGGGCAUCAGCAUCUGCCCGUCGAAGCCAUAGGCGGACGGCUCGCCCGGUGUGUGCUGGUGUUGGACGGGCGGUGACGGCACGGCGUGAAACUGCAUGGGACCAAAAAUUUGGUUACAGAAGAGGCACGGACGUAAUCGCGUUCAUAGGACCUAUGCCACAGCAGGGUGAAGUACGUACCUGAGCCUGACCUUCGUUGUCGUUGGACAACGUAUGUGGCAUGAGGAGAUGAGCCGCCGGAGGAUCCUGCUGGGGUUCGAGGUCGACGAACUGCUCGAUGUCGAAGUAGCCGUCGUUUGCGUCGGGCAGUGUGUCUGGAUUGACGACUUAUCGCCAGAGGAUCCUGCGGGACCACGGAAACCAUGAAUCCCUCUUUGUCCAUGGCGUCGAUGUCAAGGAACUGCUCGACGUCGAAGUCGCCGUCGUACUCCAUGGCGAAUCGCUGGAGGGGACCGUCCAAGGAAUCGCUGGUGAGAGUAGAGUAGGCGCGGCUUGGGGGGGCAGUUGGGAGGGAUCUCUACGACGGCGGGGAGAGGGUUAUAUACGGCGGAGGAGCGGGAGUUAGCGCGCGCUUCGAGUGGAUGCGGCGGUUGCCGCGCGCGCGCCCCCCAUUUUUUGUUUUCCUCGUAAAACUUUGUGCUCUUGCGGUGCCUCUUUUCUUUCUUAAUUUGCUUGCGUGCUCGUUUUCUUUCUUAAUUUGGCUCGUAUCAUGUACCGCGUACACGGUGCCGAGUGUGCAUCCUCGUGCAAAGUUCAAGCUGUGUGAAAAUGGCAACUGUACCAUCUCGAUCGAUCAUUUUCUAUGCUUGUUACUGAAAAGAGCGUGAAGAUUAAACUUGAUGCACGCCGCGAUUCUUCUGCCUCUUUCAUCCGGCUGCUUUUGCUUUCGUUCUAACUUAAGCAAAUUCCAUGAGGCCUGGGCUGAUUCUUUUGUACUAAAACAAUAAAUAAUCGCAGGUAUGGUGAUAAUAAUUGAAGCCAACAAACUAAGGGCAACUCAAAGGCUGUCCCCCUACUCUCUCUCCCUAAUCAUUUGUUUUAGAUAAAUUGGACAAAACCAAAUCGCCUCUAUUGUCCUACGCAUGUGUUCAUUUUUCUCCAAAUCUUCCUCACAUGGGCGGACGGGAUGUGACGGGGUGUGCGGCGGACAAAUCACCUCAGUAUGGACACGUGGCCCAAUCACAUGCCCCAGUUUUUUAGACGUCUCUCUCUCUCUCCUGUCAGAGCUAGUCGUCGCCCGCCAUCCUCUCCCCUCACUUCAUUCAGCUGCCACCCAGCUUGGGCCGCACUCCUAGACAUCCAUGGGUGGCCACAAAAUCCAAGAGGAGCCCUACCGCUCCUACAUGGCAUUAUUGUCGGGAUAAUGGAGGUCAAUGAGGCUCUGAUCUGCAGCGUGUCGACCUUUCAUUGCGUGUCUUCCUCCCAUCGUGCGCUAUGCUUAUCGCAUGCCCUCCAACCGCCACCAUCCUCGUCUCCGCCCUCCAAUUGCACACUAUCUCACACCGCGUCGACCUCAUGUGUCGCGCCCUCCCUACGUGCGUUGAUCUUCUGUGUUGCACCACCUUCGCUGCUUGCGUUUUCCUGACUCCACGAAGCUGUCAAAUAGUGGUAAAUUUUUGUCACCCAAAUUCCUCCAAGCGUGUCUAUAGAUAAAUAGGGAGGACAAACAGAGUUUUUUUCUUUCAUUCGAGGGGCCCUAAGGUGUUAGGACUUACUGACUAGAUCAUUUAAUGUGGGUGAUAACAUGGACGGAGUGGUAUAUGUGGGCAGCCAACAAGUGGCAAGGAGGGUAGGUUGCGUGGGGGGAGGCUAUGACAAAUACUACAGGCAAGGAUGUGCAGAUUUGGCAAGGAAAGGCAUGAGUUGUAAUAACCCAUACUUUUAAGUGGAGACCAAGAAAUUUUAUCACGAUUGUGCAUUGCAUUGAUUCAUCCCAAAUUCAAGGGAAUUUAAAACUUUUCUCUUCAUACAACUAAAUCUAACACUACAGGAAUCAGCUAUUUUGCCGUCUGCCACGGCGGACAGCAAAGACCUUUGCCGUCAGGCGCGGACGGCAAAAGGCUCCGGCAAAGUAGGUUACGGUAAAGAGCUACUUUGCCGUCUGCUUCCGGGCGGCUGACGGCAAAGACCCUUUGCCGUCUGCCGCGGACGGCAAUAAUUGCGCUGUCAGUCCGUUAAGUGGCUAAUGGCAGGCCUUUGCCGUCCGCGGCAGACGGCAAGCUUUCUAGUGUCUUUGCCGUCCGCCGUAUGAUGUCAUCUACACGUCACUACAUGGCAGGCCUUUGCCGUCCGCCGCUGACGGCAAAAUUGUUUACUCUUUGCCGUCUGCCACUGUAGGCAAACUGACCAAAUGGGUCAGUUCCCAGGAAGCACAGCUGGAUGCCACGUGGCUUCUUUGCCAUCCGCGGCAGACGGCAAAGAGCCCGUUGCCGUCGGUGGCAGACGGCAAAGAGCCUGCAUAUUGGCUCUUUUUUCUGUUUUUUAUUAAAUCCAACAAUUUUCAUCACAAAUAUAUAUGACAUAUAUAGAUAUAUUUCACAACAAACAUAUAAGAUAUAUAUGAUAUAUAUGACAACAAUUUUCACAGCAAACAUAUAAGAUAUCCAUCCAACAUGCAGAGUUCCAUCAUACAUAGUUCCAUCACAUAUGUUCCAUCCAACUACCAAGUUCCAUCAUACAUAGCAUAGUUCAUCCAACUACCAAGAUACAUGCAUAGUUCAACGAUACAAAAGAAACAGAGAGAGGGAUAAGGAGCACUCCAUCUAUGCAAGCUUUCGUCAAGUGAAUGAAAUCUGCAAAAUGAAAAAUAAGAAAGUUAGAAAUAGGUGACUAGAACAAGAAGAAGACUAGAACAAGAAGAAGACUAGAACAAGAAGAGUAUGUCAUUUAUGGGCUAACUUACGUGAAAUGGAUCAUAUAUGAGCUAACUAAGUUGAAAUGGGUCGUUUAUGAGCUAGCUAAGGUGAAAUGGGUCAUUUAUGAGCUAACUUAGUUGAAAUGGGUCGUUUAUGAGCUAACUAAGGUCAAAUGGAUCGUUUUUGAGGUAACUAAGGUGAAAUGGAUCGUUUUUUAGCUAACUUAGGUGAAAUGGAUCAUUUAUGAGCUAACUUAGUUGAAAUGGAUCGUUUUUGAGCUAACUUAGGUGAAAUGGAUCAUUUAUGAGCUAAUUUAGUUGAAAUGGAUCUUUUUGAGCUAACUUAGGUGAAAUGGAUCAUUUAAGAGCUAAUUUAGGUGAAAUGGAUCGUUUUUGAGCUAACUUGGUGAAAUGGAUCGUUUAUGAGCUAAAUUAGUUGAAAUGGAUCGUUUAUGAGAUAACCUAGGUAAGAUGGGUCAUUUUGGAGUUAACCUAGGUGAAAUGGGUCAUUUUAAAGCUAACGUAGGUAAAAUGGAUCAUUUAGGAGCUAAUCUAGGUAAAAUGGGUCAUUUUUGAGCUAACUUGGAUGAACUGGAUCAUUUAUAAGCUAACCAAGGUAAAAUGGGUCAUUUUAGAGCUAACUUAGGUAAAAUGGAUCGUUUAUGAGCUAACUAAGCUAAUUAUGCAAUUUUUGACAUAAGUAAGCUAAGUACAGAUCGUUUUAGAGCUAACUUAGGUAAAAUGGAUGGUUUUGGAGGUCAGUAAGCUUAUUAAGUGAUUUUGGAGGAGAAGAAGCUAAGUCUAGGUCAUUAUGAUAAUCAUUGGAGGAAAUAAAGCUAAGUUUAGGUCUUUAUGCAUGUGUUAAGCAAAACACUAGAUAAACUUACCAUGAUCCAGGAGGUGUAGGAGCGGGCUGGCUCGUGUCGGUAGCUGGAGAAGGAUCGUGCGAUGCUUGUCUGGAGUUAGGCUGCACCAAAGAUCAUUUCCAAUGUCUUGUUAGCAUGAUGACACUCAAAUGUUAAGACUAGCAAGUAAUGUCCAUUCAAAUUAAACUCACCGUGGUCCCAGGAGCAAUCACUGGCAUCGACGGAGCGGUCUGACCGGUCUUCUCGCACAGAGACUGCACAUUUGGUUUUGACGACUCAGUCAUACUAGUUAGUAAUGAGACAAACACUACAUGAAUAUUUUGGCUAAUCUGCAGAAGAAACUUACAACAAGGAGCUCGUGCAUGGCCCUUGCCUGCAUGUCAUUCCGUGCCCUCUCCUCCUCCAUCAUCUUUGUCGUCCUCUCCUCCAACUCCCGCUGCCUCUCCGCCGCCUCCGCCAGAAGUUUCUCCGUUCUAUCUCUCUCACUCUGUAUAGCAGCCUGCAACACACUCACAUGACCAUUUGUAAUCAUUGAUGGAAGCGCACACAAUGUAAUGGAGAAAGAGAGCUGAGUACGUAUCACUAACCUUGAUUUCGAGUUGCACUGGCCGUUCACGAGGCCUUAUCUCAGGAGCGGAGCUCGACUGGCGCGCCUUGAUCUCCGGGAGAGUGCUAGGACAACGGAUAAGUCCAUCUCCAAUGGCUAUGGAGCCAUCGGACCUCCCGCCACCAGAUAUCAUCACCAGCUCUGGAUCAAUGGGACCCUGGCUCGGGUUAAAGUCCUCCCCUUUCCUCGCCUUCCCCUCAUCUCUAUAUCUCACGAGCUUGUUGUGGGAGGAGAUGUUGGUGAAGUUGUUUGCAUCAUCAAGGUCAGACUGAGAGAAAGCCUUGACUUUCUUGAAAGAGGCAGUGUGGGCCAUGGCAUACAGGUCGUACACCUCUGGCACCUUAUCCACCUUAUUGUGGCGUGCCUGAAAGAGAGAAACAAUGUAAAUUAGUAAUUAAAGGGCUCAAGCUAGCAUGAUGAAUGAAUUGCAUGAAUCAUGAAGCAAACCGCAUACCCAGUUCCGCCCGAACUGAUAUAAGUUGGAGCUGCCUUGAUGGUGUGGCACACCUUCCAUAUUGGGCACGUUUGUCCUUGGCCUCGUUGUGGAGGGCUAGCCAUUCUUUUGAGCACAACUCAUUGACCAACACCUCCCAACAAUCCAUCCGAUCCGCACACCAUCUCGGAGGCGCCUAAGUUAGCAAAUAGAAACUUGAGCGCUACGACUAAGAAUUACUAAAUGAAGGAACUUAAGUAGAAGGCCUUAAGAAUUACCUUCAUGUACUGCUCCUUACUCAGGAACUUAUCGCGGCACGCCGGCUUGGUCUUCUUGAUACCACGCAAGGCGUAGUAGUCUCGAACAGCCUGCACCCGAGCCUCGUGCCGUAAGUUCUGUAGUAGGCGCUUGCAGACGUUCUCGAUAACAUGUGCCGCGUCCUCCUCGUAUCCCUCCUCACACCUGUAGAAUGUCUGCAAUCAAAUGAGACAAUAUUGAUUAGUACAAUUAAUAACUAGCUAGUUGAAGAUUUUUAAAUGUGUAAAGGAGAAAUUACCCAGAACUUUCUGAUCACCAUGUCUGCCCUCGUGUCGCACAAGACACCGUCGAUAAUUUCAUCCGGCGGGGCCGGGGCAGCCAAGUAGUGCUCCCAGCUCAAUCCAAGCUCUGGAAGCCGACCCUCACCAGGCAACGUGACAAACCCCGGGAAGUUUUGCCGGCAAAGAACUCCAAGGACGGAGUUGGGCUGGCGGACACUAUGAUGGUGGUCCCAACCCCUGCAGCAUGACAAGGCCAACGCAUUAGUUAUUCGAAGAAACGUGAAUGCAGAAGGUACAAAAAUAUUAAAUGCACUUACGUACCCCUCCCCAUCAGGGAAAAUCAACCACCUCUGCUCGCGGGUCGCCGGCACGGACGGGAGCCGUGUAGCACCACGCUGGUAGACGGUGCCCCCUCCUCCUCAAUAUCAGUGGGCUCCCCGCCAUCAUCAGCAUGGCCACUCGGCUCCUCGGGCUGAUCCGGCCAGGUACCCCAUCCGAACGUGUGCUCCUCUGGGGUCUCGUGGGCCGAAGGCCAGUCGACCCGAGGCUCGUGGGCCCAAGACCCGUGGACCGGAGUCCGUGUAGCCUCCUCUUCGGACGAGUCCACCCUAGCAGUCACGUGCUCGGGUGAAACAGCUGGGGGUGGCGGCGAGGAAGGCGCCAUAGCAGUCACCCUACCUCCUCUCCCGCGACCACGUGCCCCACCUCCUCUCUUCCUACCUCGUCCCCUGCUGGGCACCGCGGUCGACGAAGAAGGGCCCGGCGGUGUCACCAUACUGUCCAGCAACGCUCGGCGGAGAGGUGCGUCUGGAAUGGAAGACCUCAGACCACGCGCCGACGAAGAAGGGGCCUUGGCGCGCUCCCGACCAGCACCCACCAUCUUUCAACACCUGCCAUGACAAACAGUAAACGAAAUUAGUACAACAUAAAAAAAAGACCGACAUGAAUAAUAAUAUGUGUAUCACUUAAGUGUAUCAUCAUCAAGUACAACAUAAAAAAAUUUAAUACCUGACACUACUAAUAAUCUCGAUCAGUAUCAUCAAUAAAUGCAUAAUCAUCAUCAUCACUAUAAUCAAUGACGGGCUCAUAGGGUUCAGUGGCAUCAACAUGUGGAAGGCCACCUUGACGUAAUCGGUCAAGCAAUGACAGGUCAUCCGCAGCAGUAACCUCUUCUUGUUCCGGCUCUUCUUGUUCCACCUCUGGGGUGAUGUCGGAUUCACUGUCGCUGUCUACUUCAAUGUUUUGGGGUGAAGUAUAGCGGUUCUUGAAACGCUUUUUGGAAAGACGUUUCUCUUGGAAGAAUUCUCCUUCAUAUGUGUCUGGGUUAAUGUGAGGUUCAUAAUCCUCUUCCUUUGGGGGAGAUAGUCUAGCACGUGGCGGCACUUCAUAAACGACAACCCAACCUUUCAGAUUUGGAUUAGUUUGGCAGGCCCACGGUAGAUAGAAUACUUGGGUCGCCUGUUGAGCCGUAAUAUAGACAUCAGGAACAUCUAAAUGGGUGCUUUGGUUGAUUUCAACUAGCCCUAUAUGUUCAUGAGUCCUUCUAGUCUCCUUCGGCUGAAACCAAUAACAUUUGAAGACUACGACAUUCGGUGGGUUUUCACCAUAGAAUAGAAGUUCAUAAAUUGCUUCAACUCUCCCAUAAUACUCGGUACCUCCUUCGCUGAUAGCAGAUACACAACAAUUUGUAGACUUUCGGUCGGCCAUAGAUAGCUCUUUGCCAUAGGUACGAAAGCGAUACCUGUUGAUGUUGUAUUUGUCAAAUGAACGGACCUUAUAGUCAAAACCAUUAGCAACUUGUCUCAAUUCGGCUUCCAUAGACUCUGAAUUAGCCUACAAGUUUAAUAUGAAAGGAUUGUUGCAUUACGCACAAAUUAGUGAAUGAAAUGAAAUUGUCUAAUAGAAAUUACCGUUUGUUUGAACCAAGAGAUGAAACCGGGAUAGCCGCCUCCUUGCUUUGCGAGAAGCUCAUACUCUUCGACAGAAUCCUUUUGGAUCACCGCUCCAUACGAGAAUAAGGCGACGUAUCGACUGUAUGAAAUAUCCAGGAAUAAGAGCAGUUCAAAGGAAAUAGAAGUUGCGAAACAAUGUACCCAGAACUUACUCGAUGUACGGCCGCACUUCUAUUAGGUUGUUGAAGAUAUACAACGAAAUGGUCCGCCAUUGUUCGUUAUCCAAAGAUACUGGAUUUGAAACACUGGCUGGUGCGAGAUUCCCUUUGAAUAGGCUGAGGUUGGAUCCACCCUUUUUAGGGUCGUCAGCAUUGUACCGAGGCUUCGGACUAUGCAAAUGACGAUUUUUGGCUUCGUAGUGUGCUGUCACGAAGUUUGCCGCCUCCUCAGUGAUGAAUGCCUCAGCCAUCGAUGCUUCAAUUCUACGUUUAUUUUUACAUUUUUGUCGAAGCGUCUUCUGCAUCCUCUCAGUUGGGUAGCACCAACGAUUUUGCACGGGACCCCCCAAUCUUGCCUCGGUCGGGAGAUGCAAAAUCAAAUGUUGCAUUGGAUUAAAGAAGCCCGGUGGAAAGAUCUUCUCUAACUUGCAGAUCAACUCCGGCGCCAACUCUUCCAUUUCUUCUAGCACGCCAGGCGAUAGUUCUUUCGCACAAAGAACACAGAAGAAAUAGCUGAGUUCUUCCAGUACUAGCCAUUCAUCCUCAGGGAUGAAGCCACGCAACAUCACCGGCAUUACCCGCUCAAUCCAUAUGUGCCAAUCAUGACUCUUGAGACCAAAUAUCUUCAAUUUAUCAAGACUGGCUCCCCUCUUUAGAUUCGCUGCAUACCCAUCAGGGAACAUCAACUGCAUUUUCACCCACAAGAUAAUUUCCCUCAUAGCUGGCCUUCCAAGAUUGAACCAUGCCUUUGGCUUCGUCCGGUUCUGCUUUCCUUUCGGUUCUUUCAUGUUUUGUAACGGCCUAUCACAUAGCGCCUCCAGAUCGACUCUAGCCUUAGUAUUAUCCUUUGACUUCCCAUCUAUGCCGAACAAUGUACCAAAAAGUGCCUCGGCGAUAUUCUUCUCAGUGUGCAUCACGUCGAUGUUGUGUGGGCAAAGGAGGUCUUUGAAGUAAGCCUGAUCCCAUAAGCAUGUUUUGUGAGUCCAGGCGUGCUUAGAAUUAUACCCCUUGAAGUACCCUGGACGCUCUGGAUCUGGCUCGAGAGCGUUUAACUGAUCCAGGGUCUGUUGGCCUGUCAAUGCAGGUGGUGCAGAGUUUUUGACAACUCUACCUCUGAUGAAGUUCUUUUUGUCUUACCUGAACUUAUGGCGAGGAUUCAGGAACUGUCUAUGCAUGUCGAAGAAAGAAAACUUGCGACCGGCCUGAAGCCAACGAAACUCAAGAGCUCCCUUGCAUGUGGGGCACGGGAACCUUCCAUGCACACACCAGCCAACGAAUAGCACAUUCGCCGGCAAGUCAUGCGUCGAGUACAUGUACCAGACACGCAUUAUGAAGUUCCGUUUGCUAUAGGCGUCGUAUGUCUUGAACCCAUUAUCCCAGGCUUCUUGCAAUUCGUCCUUAAGCGGUUGCAUGUACACAUUCAUAUUUUUCCCCGGAUAGUUGGGCCCUGGAAUUAUCAACGUCAGGAAAAUGUUCUUUCUUUGCAUAAUCUGUCCGGGGGGGAGAUUGAGUGGAAAGACAAAUACGGGCCAACGACUGUAUUGGGCUGCCGUCAUACCAAACACACUGAACCCAUCUGUGCUGAUGCCAACUCGAGGAUGCCUCGGAUCUGCCGCUUUGUCACCAUGUAAUUCAUCAAACUUUUUCCACGCAACACCAUCUGAUGUGUGUACAAUCAUCAGAUUCCCAUCUACAUCUAGUUUGGUUCUUUUGCUCGUUUUGUGCCAUGUCAUCUGUUUGGCCGUCUCUUCGACCAUGAAAAGACGUUGAAGUCUUGGUACGAUUGGCAUAUACCGAAGAACACUAACGGGGAUUUUGGUCUGUGUCUUCUCACCCAUACCGUUGUCUACCACAACAUACCUGGAAGACUUGCAAAUGGGACAAUAGUUCAAGUCCGCAUAGUCAAGCCUAAACAAGACACAUCCUUUCUCACAGGCAUGUAUCUUAUCAUAGGGCAUCUUCAGUGCACGGAGGAUUUUGUCCGACUGGUACAGGUUUGCAGGCAUUACAUGGCCUUUGGGUAGAAAGCGUCCAAAUACUGUCAUCAUUGCAUGGUAGCAUUCUCUGCCCAAGUUGAACUGAGCCUUCAGAGCCAUUACUUGUAAGAUGGCAUCCAACUGACAAAGCUCAGUGUGCUCAUGGAGCGGACGUUUUGAAGACUCCAACAUUUCAUUGAAGGCGUUUGCAGAUUCCUCCAUCUCCUUGUCCGAAUCCCGAGCAUCAUCGAAGUCUUGCACCAUGUUUUCCAUCCCGGUACCAUGCUCGUCGGUGCGGCGAAGAUCCACCUCAGCUCGGUCACGUUGGGCAGACUCACCAUGAAAUGUCCACACCGUAUAAUCGGGCGUAAAACCACUCUUCUGCAGGUGUUUGCCCAUUUCAGCCUCUGUCCUCUUUUCCCAAUUGCCGCACCGUAAACAGGGGCACCAGGUUUUCCUCUGGCCAUUUGCAAAUGCGGCUCGCACAAACCCCUUGGUUUUUGUGAACCAUUCAGUGCUCCAUUUGUUCUGACCAGUGUGACUGGUGUACAUCCACGCACGAUCACUCAUCUUGACUUUCAGAGCUACUAGGCACACAAAAUAUAUAUAUAUAUAUAUAAUUCACCAUGUAUAUAUUCAUCAGUUGAUCUACUUUGUCAAUUUUAUUACGUCCAUGCAACCUACACUCUAAUAGGUAAUGAUAGGUCCUAAUCCCACCCAAGUAUGUUUAGAUUGGGUUCAUUUUCCCAUGCUAUGCUCCGGAUCCUACGCAAAAUUACGGCAGCACCUCCCCGCUGUUCUCCUGAUACACGUCUCUGCAAUAAACAGAGAGGAUGUGUACCCGGAGAACAACAGGGGAGGCACUCACGAAAUUUAUGCGCCGGAUCCGGAGCAAAGCAUAUGGGAAAACGAACCCAAUCUAAACAUACUCGGGCUGUCCAUGGAUAGCGUUGGACAAUUCGAAAGAAUCAAGGUUAUAAAUAUGCAAAUGCAUGCAUAUUUAUAACUAUGACGCUUUCGAAUGGGAGACACAUAUUGGUUACGCAUACUGAUGAUUCAAGACACAUAUAUAGCUAGCUAUCAAGUUUCAUCGGAAUAGAUCAAAUAAUUAAUGGGGGAGGAGGACAUGUCAUUUGUGCUCACCCACGAACGAAGGGGCAGAGCUCGUCAAACGCACGGCGAGGUCGUCGAACACCAAACCUCGCAGCGAUGAAACAACUGCACAUUUAAAACUACCCGAUCAACACAAUUAUAUAUGAUGUUUUUCAUAACAAAAUCGAAAAAUAUAUGACCUAACUAAUAAUUCACAAAUAUAUNNNNNNNNNNNNNNNNNNNNNNNNNNNNNNNNNNNNNNNNNNNNNNNNNNNNNNNNNNNNNNNNNNNNNNNNNNNNNNNNNNNNNNNNNNNNNNNNNNNNNNNNNNNNNNNNNNNNNNNNNNNNNNNNNNNNNNNNNNNNNNNNNNNNNNNNNNNNNNNNNNNNNNNNNNNNNNNNNNNNNNNNNNNNNNNNNNNNNNNNNNNNNNNNNNNNNNNNNNNNNNNNNNNNNNNNNNNNNNNNNNNNNNNNNNNNNNNNNNNNNNNNNNNNNNNNNNNNNNNNNNNNNNNNNNNNNNNNNNNNNNNNNNNNNNNNNNNNNNNNNNNNNNNNNNNNNNNNNNNNNNNNNNNNNNNNNNNNNNNNNNNNNNNNNNNNNNNNNNNNNNNNNNNNNNNNNNNNNNNNNNNNNNNNNNNNNNNNNNNNNNNNNNNNNNNNNNNNNNNNNNNNNNNNNNNNNNNNNNNNNNNNNNNNNNNNNNNNNNNNNNNNNNNNNNNNNNNNNNNNNNNNNNNNNNNNNNNNNNNNNNNNNNNNNNNNNNNNNNNNNNNNNNNNNNNNNNNNNNNNNNNNNNNNNNNNNNNNNNNNNNNNNNNNNNNNNNNNNNNNNNNNNNNNNNNNNNNNNNNNNNNNNNNNNNNNNNNNNNNNNNNNNNNNNNNNNNNNNNNNNNNNNNNNNNNNNNNNNNNNNNNNNNNNNNNNNNNNNNNNNNNNNNNNNNNNNNNNNNNNNNNNNNNNNNNNNNNNNNNNNNNNNNNNNNNNNNNNNNNNNNNNNNNNNNNNNNNNNNNNNNNNNNNNNNNNNNNNNNNNNNNNNNNNNNNNNNNNNNNNNNNNNNNNNNNNNNNNNNNNNNNNNNNNNNNNNNNNNNNNNNNNNNNNNNNNNNNNNNNNNNNGGGUGGUGGGGCGACCGGGCGGCGCGCGUGUGAAGAGCAGGGAGAGAAACAGGGCAGGGUGGGGCGCGGCCGUUAGAUAUGUUAAAUCUUUGCCGUCCGCCCCCUUUGCCGUCCGCUUUUUUGCUCUUUGCCGUCUGCUAGCAGAUGGCAAAGAGGGGGGCCGUUAAGUUUUUUUUAAGCAGCUCGUCAGUGGGGCCCCCUCCCUCUUUACCGUCAGCUAGCCGACGGCAAAGAAUCUUUGCCGUCAGCUAGCGGACGGCAAAGAACUGGCUGAUGGCAAAGAAAGUCUUUGCCAUCAGCCAGUUCUUUGCCGUCAGCUUUUGGGUAGCUGAUGGCAAAGAGCUUCUUUGCCGUCUGCUAGCUGACGGCAAAGAGCUGGCAGAUGGCAAAGUAGCUGAUUCUAGUAGUGUAACCAAGUGUUGGAAAAUUGGGCAUGACCUUUGCUCAUUUCGUAACAUUUGGAUCACUGUUCAAUAAGUAUAGGAGAGAAGGAUUAUAAUGCAUAAGGACCAUUCAUGCCGUUUGAAUUGAAUUCAAAAAUUAUAUCAAAUGAUUGUUUGACUUGCAAAUAUUGUUUGAAUUCAAUAAUACAAUUUCAGUUGAAUUACAAUGAUAAUAUAAAAUGUAUGCAUUGAAACAAAUUCUAUUAUAUCCAAAAGAUUGCAGUUAAUGAAUUGAAUUACAAAAGAUUACAUAGAUCACAAUCUGAUCUUGGGAAAUAUUACAAGUUGUUUAUAAUAGAAUAAUGGAAAUGCUAACUAAAGCUAAAUCUUGUUUCUUCUCAGCUUCUUCUCAACAACCUGCAAAUACAAAGACAAAGACAAGAAAUGAGAGUUAACGUUAGAACAUUUGCAAUCACAUGAGGUGAUGCAAUAUUUUGAUUUAGGAGCCUAGUCUAAAGAACAUAGGGGAUUGGUCUAGGUCAUAAUCCUAUUAGAGUGGAUACCAAAUUAUUCGAAUGCAAAAAUUAACAACACAUUAUCCAGAUGCAACCUUGAGCCACAGAUGACGAGGAUGGCAAUUAUAAUUUGGCAACAAAAGGCAAUAAGAGCAUUAUAACCACAACUCCAUCCCACAUAUAGAGGCAACCAUGAUAACCAUAGGGUACGUCUACUAGGAAGGUCUCUAACUGGACUAAGCUCCGUAAUCAUUCGAAGGCAAUAAAAGGGCAAUUUUGGGGUUUAACUUUCAUAUUACUAAACUCAUUUCAGCCCACAUUCUUAUGCAAGUCGAAUUAAUCUAACCAGCCAACCCACAUGGACAGUAAGCAACCCUUUUAGCCACUAAAUCAAUGCAAGACGGAGGAUAAUGCACAUCCCAUCAACCAAACUUUGCUAAUGUAGCCAACAGCUUGUCUAGAUAACAAUUUAGGAGGAGAUGGCAGCAAGGCAACCGUGUAAUAAUUCUCUCAUAAGUCAGAGAAUUAGAUAAUGAUAAACCACACAACUUACUCAACUAAGUCUAAGUUGAGUCAACAUUGAGGUGGCAGUUGAUAACCCACAAGUAUAGAGGAUCACAACAGUUUUCGAAGACAGAGUAUUCAACCUGCUACUUCUUGAGCUUGCGUUGAUUUUUUCCUUAAAGAGGAAAGGGUGAUGCAGCAAAGUAGAGAUAAGUAUUUCCCUUAGUUAAGAACCAAGGUAUCAAUUCAGAAGGAUGCACAAGCAAGUCCCCAAUAUAUGCACCUGCACAAACUAACAAACACUUGCACACAACGUAAAAAAGGGGUUGUCAAUACCUUCACGGUGACUUGCAAGAGUGAGAUCUAAUAGAGAUAGGUAUAAAAAAUAAGUAAACAACAAAAUAAAGUAAAUAUAAAUAAAGUGCAGCAAGGUAUUUUUAGAAUUUUUAGUUUAUAGAUCUGAAAAUAAUAUGAUGGAAAAUAGAUCCGGGGGCCAUAGGUUUCACUGAAGGCUUCUCUUUUGAAGAAAGCAUGCGCUGGGUAAAUAAAUUACUGUUGAGAAAUUGAUAAAAAAGCGCAAAGCUAUGACGAUAUCUAAUGCAAUGAUGAUGAAUAUAGGCAUCAUGUCCAUGACAAGAAGACCAAAACAAUUCUGCAUCUACUACUAUUACUCCAUACAAGUAGACCGAAACGAUUCUGCGUAGGCGUGGUUUGGGAAGAAGUUGGGCCUGGAUCUGUACGACGGCGGGGGAGGGGUUUAUAUGCACCAAGGAGCGGGAGUUAGUGCGCGGUUCGAGUGGAUGCGGUGGUUGCUGCGCGCUCCCUGCAUCUUUUGUUUCCGUCGUAAAUUUUGCUCUGUGCUACUUCACGGUGCCUCUUUGAUUUCUUAAUUCGCUUGCGUGCUCGUUUUCUUCCCUAAUUUGGCUCGUGUCACGUUCCGCGUGCACGGUGCCGAUCGAGUGUGCGUGCAUGCACCCUCGUACAAAGUUCAGGGAUGCAUUUGGUUGAUCUCAUUUUUUUAGGCAGUUUGCAUACUUCUCUCACUAGGGCCUAGUUAAACAUUCGCAUGGAAAAAACCAACAUAUGCUUGUUGAUUGGUUGCCUGCAUAUCCCUACAUCGUAGCAAUGCUUCUACCUAUUUUAUUUGGUUACUCACAUUGUAUGUGGUCACACGACUGCAUGGUGUUUGGUUGCACACGACCAUAGAGUUGUGCUCACCUUGUACCUACUUGGUGAGGUUACCCACUACUACUACACCUUAGAGCAUCUCCACUCGUUCGGCCCCCAGGGACUCGAAAUAUCGCCGCUUAGGGACGAACCGCCAAAAAUUUCGGCAUGGGGGGGGUGGGGGGUGGGGGGUGGGGGGGCUCGGGUUCCCAGUCGCCGCCCCAAGAUGAACCAAGAUGUCAUAUUUUCAAAUACAAAUUCGGCUAGAUUUGGAAGAAAAUGCACGAAUUUGGUCGAAAUUCAGGCGGUUUUCAUUGACAUUUGUACAAAAUUAAAGAAAUAGCUAAAAAAUUAGAAAAAUAAAACUACGCCCUAAAACUACCCCGUCGCCGCCCCGAGUCUAAUGCAUGCCAGGAGCUCGUAGAAGGCGGUGUAGUCGUCGUCGUCAUCCUGCACGCCGCUGUCGUCCUUGUUGCAGCCCUGUCCUGGGUCGCCGUGGCGGACGGGGUUAGUCGGUGACGGCGCCUCCUCGUCGCUGUCCUCGAGGACGAUGACACCGCCCUCGUCCCGGCCGCGGCGCCGAGCGGCGAUCUCCUCGAGGGCGCGGCGCUAGCGCUCCAAUUCCUCCCGGACGUAAUCGUCCCGCGCCCAUUUGAGGCUGGUUUUGAGGUCGGAGGCCAUGUCGACAUGGUCCUGCUUGACGACGACGGGCGGCCUCGCCGGCUCCUGCUUCGGCCUGACCAGGUGAAGAUGGUCGUGGGCAGGAGGGGAAGGUUGGCGGCGGCGCUCGUUUAUGACGAGGCUGCCGCCACGGCUGUGCUGGCGCUCCGGCGUCUCCUGGGCUCGGCCUUGACCGCGGCGAUCGGCAGCGUCGUGCCGGUGGAGUGGGAGCUGGAGGACGAGGACGAUGCCCCCUCCAUGCGCUGCGGCAGCCAUGAGCUGCCGCUCCGGCGCAAAAAAUAUGGCUCGAGGACGAAGUGAAGCGUGCGCCCGGGGACGCCCCACCACGGACGGCGUCCGUCGGAGUUGUGGUGCCCCCGUGGCGUCGGCGCGCCAUUCGUGGAGGCGAGCUGGUCGGCGCGGCAGCGAGCAAAGUGAUGCGGCUUGAAGCUACGUCGGUAUUUCACCAAAGAGGAAGGGAUGAUGCAGCACAGCGGCGGUAGGUAUUUACCUCAGUUAUGAGACUAAGGUUAUCGAACUAGUAGGAGAACCAAGCAACACUACGUAAACAGCACCUGCACACAAAUAACAAAUACUCGCUACCCAACGUGUAAAAGGGGUUGUCAAUCCCUUUCGGGUAGCGGCGCCAGAAAUUGGCAAACUGACGUGAAUAAAUUGUAGUAGCUUGAUAGAUCGAACACCAAAUAAAAGAAAAUAAGAAUAAAUUACAGCAAGAUAUUUUUGUAUUUUUGGUUUAAUAGAUCUGAAAAUAAAAGUAAAGUAAAAUAAAUCGCAAAGGCAAAUAAUAUGAGAAAGAGACACGGGGGGCGUAGAUUUCACUAGUGGCUUCUCUCAAAAAAAUAGCAAACGGUGGGUAACAAAUUACUGUUAGGAAAUUGAUAGAACUUCAAAUAAUCAUGACGAUAUUCAGGCAAUGAUCAUUAUAUAGGCAUCACGUCCAAGAUUAGUAGACCGACUCCUGUCUGCAUUUACUACUAUUACUUCAUACAUCGACCGCUAUUCAGCAUGCAUCUAGUGUAUUAAGUUCAUGGAGAAACGGAGUAAUGCAAUAAGAAUAGACCCCAUCGUAUUAUCCUUAGUAGAAACAAUACAUACGUGUCGGUUCCCCUUCUGUCAAUGGGAUGAAGCACCAUAAGAUCGAACCCACUACAAAGCACCUCUUCCCAUUGCAAGAUUAAUAGAUCAAGUUGGCCAAACAAAACCCAAAUAUCGGAGAAGAAAUACGAGGCUAUAAGCAAUCAGGCAUAUAAGAGAUCAAGAAGAUUCAAAUAACUUUCAUGGAUAUAAAAAGAUAGAUCUGAUCAUAAACACAAACUUCAUCCGAUCCCAACAAACACACCUGAAAAAGAGUUACACCAUAUGGAUCUCCAAGAGACCAUUGUAUUGAUAAUCAAAAGAGAGAGAGGAAGCCAUGUAGCUACUAACUACGGACCCGAAGGUCUAUAAAGAACUACUCAUGCAUCAUCGGAGAGGCACCAAUGGAAGUAGUGAACCCCUCCGUGAUGGUGUCUAGAUUGGAUCUGGUGGUUCUGGACUCUGCGGCGGUUGGAAUUGAUUUUCGUCGACUCCCCUAGGGUUUCUAGAAUAUUGAGGUAUUUAUAGAGAAAAUAGUCGGUUCAGGGGGCACCCGAGGUGGGCACAACCCACCAGGGCGCGCCUGGGCCUCCUGGCGCGCCCUGGUGGGUUGUGCUCCCCUCGGAGCACCCCCAGGUGCUUCUUCGGCCCAUUGGUUGUCUUCUGGUCCAAAAAAAAAUCUCCAAAAAGUUUCGCUGCUUUUGGACUCCAUUUGAUAUUGAUUUCCUGCGAUGUAAAAAACAUGCAGAAAACAGCAACUCGCACUUGGCACUAUGUCCAUAGGUUAGUACCAAAAAUGAUAUAAAAUGAUUAUAAAACAUUCAAGAUUAAUAAUAUAACAACAUGGAACAAUAAAAAAUUAUAGAUAUGUUGACGUAUCACAAAGACGUAUAACAACAUGGAACAAUAAAAAAUUAUAGAUACAUGGAACAAUAAAAAGUUAUAGAUACGUCGUGCACAGCGCGUGGCUGUCGGGGGGUACCUUUUUUUUACUGGAAACCAUAGAACAAUUGUUUUACGUUAUUUUUAUUAAUACUAAUAAAAAGUACAUAAUAUACAGAGUGAAAAAGAAAAAUAACCAGCCAAUCCCAGUUUUAGGCAAUAAGAACUAAAUUAAUCUUGUGUUAGAAUCUGUUCAACCCAGUGUCUGAUCUUGAUUGCUUUGCUUUAUUUAGCUCUUAACUCUGUUGCCCACAAUCCUUCUUUGAGAUAGUAUUUCCAGGUGUUAAUAUGGGGAGCAGCUGACCUGAAAAUUUUAUCAUUUCUGACUGACUAAAUACUCCAGCAGCCUAUAAUGAUGAUGUCCAUCGCAAUGCCUGAUGGAAGUUGAGGUAGGGCAAGAGAGACCUCAUCAAACAAGCAUGUACCUCUCCGUCUAUUCAGAAGAAUUGAGUCCCAACAAGCCCGGGAAAAAGGGCAGUCCCAAAAGAGAUGAUAACUAGUUUCCUCAGUUGAGUGUACACAGAGGGCACAGUUAUAAUCCUGAAGGUACAUUUUUUUCGCUGCAGCAAAUUCCGUGAGUUCACUCUGUCAUACAGCAGCAUCCAAUAGAAGAUCUUAUGCCUCAUUCUGCAAGAGGUUUGCCAUAUGAGCUUGAAGAGCCUAUUGGGGCUUUCAGAUGACAUGAUUGCUUUGUACAUCUUGAUGGACGAUUAUUGGGUGUUGUGCCAUUUGUAGCACCAUUUAUCUGGGGCAGAAGUGGGGUCUCUUGUUGCAAACAGCUGAGUUAAGGAAUUGAAUUGUUGGUAGGCCUGUAGUGACAGAGGACGAUGAAAAAGAGCUGCAAAAUCGGUGGAUUGAAACGCCUCCUCAAGAACAAUAGUCUAAUCUAGGGCAAAGGAGUGUAACUCAUGAUACGUUUGAAGCAGAGGUUGCCCAUUCCAAUUAUUAGACCAGAAGAAUGAUGUAUCUCCCUUUCCUACCUUGCAGAUAGCAUGUACCUUGUACAUAGGUAGUAAUUUGAGCAUUGGUUUCCACCAAAAGGAUCCCUGUGGCCUCUCAUCUGGUGGAGUUGUCUGAUAAUAUCUUUCCCAAAUGAUGUUGACCCAAGGAAUAUCUUAUUUGUUCAAGAAUUUGUGCAAGAAUUUCAUGAGGAGAGCUUGAUUAUGUGUGGAGAUAUCCAGAACUCCAAGUCCUCCACUCUCCUUGUGCAAGAAUUUGUGCAAGAAUUUCAUGAGGAGAGCUUGACCCAUGUGAAGUACCAUAUUUCCUCCAGAAACACUGCUUCAGGUAGAUAUUAAUCUGCUUGACCACUAUUUUGGGAAUAGUCAGGGUGCACAUGAAAAAUGUAGGCAUGCUUGUGUAGAUAGAUUUAAUCAAAGUGAGUUUAUCUCCUGAUGAAAGGAAACUAGAACAGCUCAGCAAUCUUGUUUCUAUUCUCUUCAGCAGAGGUGAGAAAUCCUCAACUCUGGGUUUAGAGGUGGACCUCGGCUGCUGUCGCGCUUCCUUCGGCAGCGCCGGCCAGAUACGCGUAAUCUCGGCAUGGCAUUCGGCGUCGGAGGGCGUCGGGGGCAAGGGGAUGCUGCCGUUGCUGAGCCUCCACGAGCCCAGUACGCACAUGUCAGCCGGCGCUGGGUAGUUUGCCUCGUAAAGGAGGUGCGCCUCCCACUCGUGUAGAUGAUGGCAGCUGAAGCCGUUGGCCGCCGCUUCGUCGCCGGGGAAUCUCUCCGCCAUCGAUCAUGGCUUGAGACGGGGAGAGAGAGAGGGCAUCGACGGUGAAGGAGAGGGGGGCGUCGGCAGCGAGAGAGAUAGGAUGUGGCGAGGCAAGUGUGCAGCCAGCGGCGAGGGAGGGUGGCUUUUAUAGUAGUGAGUGGACGGCGAACAGGCGCAGUAGUGUGGAUGCGUGACGGGAGGGGGUGGAACGUGCGGCGGCGCGCCUUCACUGCGCCGCCCGUGAGACAAUGGAAGGCUGGCCGACGGCAGCAUUCACAUUGAUUCCCGCGGGAAUCAAGGCGAUGAGGAUGACGAAGGUUCUCAGCAUCGCCUAGUCGCUGACUCAGCGGGUCCACCAGUUUUCACUCCAAAUUCGUUUCCCCCGGCGCCCCCGGGCGGCCCCCAGCACGUUGGGUUUGGCCUGGGUCCGCCGGCUCCUGGGGGCGCGACUGGCCUGAUUUUUUCGAGAUGGCGAUAAAAAAGGGGCCUGUUGGGGGGGGGGGACGAGUGGAGAUGUGCUGCCUCUUGAGCACUGCGUUGGUUUUCCCUUGAAGAGGAAAGGGUGAUGUAGCAAAGUAGCAUCAGUAUUUCCCUCAGUUUUUGACAACCAAGGUAUCAAUCCAGUAGGAGGCCACGCUCAAGUCCCUUGUCCCUACACAAACAAAUAAGAACCUUGCAACCAACGCGAUAAAGGAGUAAUCUUUUUUGGUAUUUUUAUGAUAAAGAUUAAAAGUAAAGAAUGCAAAAUAAACAAAGAUAGAAAUAACUUGUUGACGAGAGAUUAAUAUGAUGGAGAAUAGACCCGGGGGCCAUAGGUUUCACUAGUGGCUUAUCUCAAGAUAGCAUAAGUAUUAUGGUGGGUAAACAAAUUACUAUCAAGCAAUUGAUAGAAUUGAGCAUAGUUAUGAGAAUAUCUAGGUAUGAUCAUGUAUAUAGGCAUCACGUCCAUGACAAGUAGACCGACUCCUGCCUGCAUCUACUGCGAUUACUCCACACAUCGCCCGCUAUCCAGCAUGCAUCUAGAGUAUUAAGUUCAUAAGAACGGAGUAACGCUUUAAGCAAGAUGACAUGAUGUAGAGGGAUAAACUCAUGCAAUAUGAUAUAAACCCCAUCUUUUUAUCCUUGAUGGCAACAAUACAAUACGUGUCGUUUCCCCUACUGUCACUGGGAUCGAGCACCGCAAGAUUGAACCCAAAGCUAAGCACUUCUCCCAUUGCAAGAAAGAUCAAUCUAGUAGGCCAAACCAAACUGAUAAUUCGAAGAGACUUGCAAAGAUAACCAAUCAUACAUAAAAGAAUUCAGAGAAGAUUCAAAUAUUGUUCAUAGAUAAUCUUGAUCAUAAACCCACAAUUCAUCGGAUCUCGGCAAACACACCGCAAAAGAAGAUUACAUCGAAUAGAUCUCCAAGAGAAUCGAGGAGAACUUUGUAUUGAGACCCAAAGAGAGAUAAGAAGCCAUCUAGCUAAUAACUAUGGACCCGAAGGUCUGAGGUAAACUACUCACACAUCAUCGGAGAGGCUAUGGUGUUGAUGUAGAAGCCCUCCGUGAUCAAUGCCCCCUCCGGCAGGACGCCGGAAAAGGCCCCAAGAUGGGAUCUCACGGGUACAGAAGGUUGCGGCGGUGGAAUUAGGUUUUUGUGGUGCUCUUCGAUGGUUUGGGGGUACGUAGGUAUAUAUAGGAGGAAGAAGUAGGUGGGUGGAGCCACGAGGGGGCCACGAGGGUGGAGGGUGCGCCCAGGGGGGUAGGUGCGCCCCCUGCCUCGUGGCCUCCUCGGUGAUUUCUUGACGUCCACUCCAAGUCCUCUGGAUCACAUUUGUUCCAAAAAUAACUCUCCCGAAGGUUUCAUUCCGUUUGGACUCCGUUUGAUAUUCCUUUUCUGUGAAACACUGAAAUAGGCAAAAAACAGCAAUUUGGGCUGGGCCUCCGAUUAAUAGGUUAGCCCGAAAAUAAUAUAAAAGUGCUUAGUAAAGCCCAUUAAACAUCCAAAAUAGAUAAUAUAAUAGCAUGGAACAAUCAAAAAUUAUAGAUACGUUGGAGACGUAUCAAGCAUCCCCAAGCUUAAUUCAUGCUCGUCCUUGAGUAGGUAAAUGAUAAAAACAGAAUUUUGGAUGUGGAAUGCUACUUAGAAGAUUCUUCAAUGUAUUUCUCUCUAUUGUGGCAUGAAUGUUCAGAUCCGAAAGAUUCAAGAUAAAAGUUUAAUAUUAAUAUGAAAAUAAUAAUACUUCAAGCAUACUAACAAAGCAAUCAGGUCUUCUCAAAAUAACAUGGCCAAAGAAAGUUAUCCCUACAAAAUCAUAUAGUCUGGCUAUGCUCUAUCUUCACCACACAAAGUAUUUAAAUUAUGCACAACCCCGAUGACAAGCCAAGCAAUUGUUUCAUACUUUUGAUGUUCUCAAACUUUUUCUAUCUUCACGCAAUAUAUGAGCGUGAGCCAUGGACAUAGCACUAUAGGUGGAAUAGAAUGGUGGUUGUGGAGAAGACAAAAAGGAGAAGAUAGUCUCACAUCAACUAGGCGUAUCAACGGGCUAUGGAGAUGCCCAUCAAUAGAUAUCAAUGUGAGUGAGUAGGGAUUGCGAUGCAACGGAUGCACUAGAGCUAUAAGUGUAUGAAAGCUCAACAAAAGAAACUAAGUGGGUGUCCAUCCAAGUCGCUUGCUCACGAAGACCUAGGGCAUUUUGAGGAAGCCCAUCAUUGGAAUAUACAAGCCAAGUUCUACAAUGUAAAAAUUCCCAAUAGUAUAUGAAAAUGAUAACAUAGGAGACUCUCUAUCAUGAAGAUCAUGGUUCUACUUUGAAGCACAUGUGUGGAAAAAGGAUAGUAACAUUGUCCCUUUUCUCUUUUUAUCUCAUGUUUUUAUUGGGCCUUCUCUCUUUCUUUUUAUGGCCUCUUUUUUUUAGUCCGUAAUCUCAUCCUGACUUGUGGGGGAAUCAUAGUCUCCAUCAUCCUUCACUAGUAGAAAACAGGGCUUUGGUUCGGGCAUGACAAGCCCAUUAGUCCCGGUUCAGCCAUGAACCGGGACCCAUGGGGGCAUUCGACCCGGUUCGUGAGCCCACGGGGUCGGCCAGGGCCUCGUGGGCAUUGGUCCCGGUUCGUGUGGACCCAUUUGUCCCGGUUCUAGGCACGAACCGGGACCAAUGGGCAUCGCUCCUGGCCCACAACCAUUGGUCCCGGUUCCUGGCUUGAACCGGGACAGAUGGCUGGGCUUUAGUCCCGGUUUCAGCCACGAACCGGGACAAAUGAGCUGCCUAUAUAUACCCCAUUGCCACAGCAGAGCCCUCCAUAGUCCCCUGUUUUUUCUGGCCGGCGAGGGGAGGGUAUUUGGGUGUUCUAGCUCACCUCCUAUGCACAUGAGGUGUUCGGUGAAAUGUCUGAGCCACACUAGUUAAUCUUUGUCCUCUCGAAACUCGACCUCCGAGCUCCAUUUUCCCCGAGAUUUGUCCAGGUUUAGCGGUCCGUCACGUCCCGUCCCCGUCUUCACCGCCGUCUAUCGCCCGCGCCGAUCUCGUCGCCGGCACCACCGUGGUGAGCCUCUUGUUCUUAUCUUCUUUCUGAAAGAAAAAAAAUUCUUACUUCAGAUAAAUACUUGUCUAAUUUUCUUACUUUUAUUAUUCCUUGUUAUUAGAUAGUGCGAUGGUUUUGGUAUCCGCCACCGUCGGCCUUGUCCUGUCUAUGAUUCGGAUGUGGUAUAUAUUAUCUUUUUAUAACUAUUUCGUUCAUUUAUUGUUUAUGACAAUUAUGCCGACCAACGUGACAUGUAUUUUAUUUAUCUAGGAGGUGGUUGAACCGGAAAUUCCAACCGACCCUAUUGUCGAGAGGUUAAAUUUAGUUGAAGAAGAAAACAAUUACUUGAAGGAAAAAAUAAAAAAAAUGAGGAGGAGAAGAUGAUAUUGGAGUUGCAUGUUGCGGAUGUCGUCGAUGGUCAGAAGAUCAAGUUGGAUCAAUUGUUACCUUUGUUGCGAUUAUGAUCGCAUUUCUUGUUGCAUUGAAAUGUUUUACAUAUUUUAAAUGUAUGGUUUAAUUAGAUGCUCCGGAGAGCUAUAUGUUGUUCAAUGAGAACUAUGCAUGUACUUUGGUUUUAAUGUGAUGAUGAACUUCUAUUAAUUUGGUCACUUAUCAAUUUCAGGGUCUUAUAGCUUAAAAUAAUCAGUAAAUGCAUGAAAAAUAACAAAGGAAGUCAGAAAGGGUUGAAAAUUGAUGAUGUUGCUUUGAAUGGUGCAUUUUGAACACAGAAAAACUCUGGAGUUCAAAUAAGUUCAAAAAAAUGAAAAUCCCUUUGUAACAGACGAGUUUCCGUAUGAAACCCAGAUACUUCAAAAGAGAUUGUCCGUUUUGUACACGAAGUUCAUCCAGUUCUUGCCAUAACCCUCUCUACUUUCUUGCACAUGCUAUGUGGGUGAAAUGAUGAUACCAUGCCAACUUUCAACCUUUUCAGAGUUCAUUUGAAAUGCUUUUCAAUUUCAGGGUCUUAUAGCUCAAAAUAAUCAGUAAAUGCAUGGCAAAUAACAAAUGAAGUCAGAAAGGGUUGAAAAUUGAUGAUGUGGCUUUGAAUGGUGCAUUUUGAACACACAAAAACUCUGGAGUUCAAAUAAGUUUAAAAAAUUGAAAUUCCUUUGUAANNNNNNNNNNNNNNNNNNNNNNNNNNNNNNNNNNNNNNNNNNNNNNNNNNNNNNNNNNNNNNNNNNNNNNNNNNNNNNNNNNNNNNNNNNNNNNNNNNNNNNNNNNNNNNNNNNNNNNNNNNNNNNNNNNNNNNNNNNNNNNNNNNNNNNNNNNNNNNNNNNNNNNNNNNNNNNNNNNNNNNNNNNNNNNNNNNNNNNNNNNNNNNNNNNNNNNNNNNNNNNNNNNNNCCGUUUUGUACACGAAGUGCAUCCAGUUUUUUCCGUAACCCUCUCUACUUUCUUGCACAUGCUAUGUGGGUGAAAUGAUGAUACCAUGCCAACUUUCAACCUUUUCAGAGUUCAAUUGAAAAGCUUUUCAAUUUCAGGGUCUUAUAGCUCAAAUAAUCAGUAAAUGCAUGAAAAAUAACAAAUGAAGUCAGAAAGGGUUGAAAAUUGAUGAUGUGGCUUUGAAUGGUGCAUUUUGAACACAGAAAAACUUUGGAGUUCAAAAAAGUUCAAAAAAUCAAAUCACUUUGUAACAGACGAGUUUCCGUAUGAAACCCUGAUACUUCGAAAUAGAUUGUCCGCUUUGUACACGAAGUGCAUCCAGUUUUUGCCGUAACCCUCUCUAUUUUCUUGCACAUGCUAUGUGGAUGAAAUGAUGAUACCAUGCCAACUUUCAACCUUUUUAGAGUUCAUUGAAAUGCUUUUCAAUUUCAGGGUCUUAUAGCUCAAAAUAAUCAGUAAAUGCAUGAAAAAUAACAAAUGAAGUCAUAAAGGGUUGAAAAUUGAUGAUGUGGCUUUGAAUGGUGCAUUUUGAACACAGAAAAAUUGUGGAGUUCAAAUAAUUUAAAAAAUGAGAUCCCUUUGUAACAGACGAGUUUCCGUAUGAAACCCUGAUACUUCAAAAGAAAUUGUCCGUUUUGAACACGAAGUACAUCCAGUUUUGUCGUAACCCUCUCUACAUUCUUGCACAUACUAUGUGGGUGAAAUGAUGAAUUAUCAAAGUAUUUUAUGUUCAAAAUCAUUAAGAGCAAAAAGAAUUUUCAUAAAGAACGUUUUUGUUACAAACCCUUAAUAGCAAAAAGAAUUAUCAUAAAAUAAAAUAAAUAAGUAAUUAGAAACAAAAUAAUACAAACUAAAAUAAAAUAUAUAUAUAAGUAGAAAUAAAAUAAAAUAAACUUUAAUAACAUAAAUGAAAUUUAUGAUACUAAAAUUAUCAAAGUAUUUUCUGUUCAAAACAUUAUAAGCAACCUCUAGUAUUAUUGAAACUAAAAUUAUAUAAAAUUGAUGCAACUAAAAUUAUCAAAGUAUUUUCUGUUCAAAAUCAUUAAAAGCAAAAAGAAUUUUCAUAAAGAGCUUUGUUUGUUAGAAACUUUAAUACNNNNNNNNNNAAAAAAGAAAACAAAAUAACUGGGAAAAAAUAAAAAAAUGCCACCUACUAGGCCACCACGGCCUGAAUACGACUAGAAACCCAUCAAUGGGCCAGGAUUCAGGCCAGCAGAAGGCCUAGUAGGCCCAUCAGGCAUAGCAGUCACAAUUAGGCCCGUAAGCCUGCAAUGGAGAGGAGCUCGAGAGGGGUGCGGCAGUGGGGCUUAUAAACCACUGCGCGCCCCUCUCAACUAGCGAGGUGGGACUAAACUCCCACCACCACGCCUCUGUGCAAGGCCUUUGGUCCUGGUUGGUGGCACCAACCGGGACUAAAGGGUUGCAUUGGUAUGGCCCCCCUUAGUCCCGGUUGGUGCCACCAACCGGGACCAAAGGCCGCCGCUUCCCGCCCUUUGGGCUGCUGAAAAGAGACCUUUGGUCCCGGUUGGUGGCACCAACCGGGAGUAAAGGGGGCAUUGGUCCCGCUUGGUGCCACGAACCGGUACCAAUGCCCUUGGUAUAUAAGAAAACACUUUGCAUUUUUCACACUCAUCUUUGCAGUUGCCCCGCCCCGACGCCGCCGUCAGGCUGCCCGAGCUCGCCCGUCGAUGCCGUCGCUGCCCUCAACCCCGUCGAAUCCGCCGCCCUGCCCCGACCACGCCGCCGUCGGNNNNNNNNNNNNNNNNNNNNNNNNNNNNNNNNNNNNNNNNNNNNNNNNNNNNNNNNNNNNNNNNNNNNNNNNNNNNNNNNNNNNNNNNNNNNNNNNNNNNNNNNNNNNNNNNNNNNNNNNNNNNNNNNNNNNNNNNNNNNNNNNNNNNNNNNNNNNNNNNNNNNNNNNNNNNNNNNNNNNNNNNNNNNNNNNNNNNNNNNNNNNNNNNNNNNNNNNNNNNNNNNNNNNNNNNNNNNNNNNNNNNNNNNNNNNNNNNNNNNNNNNNNNNNNNNNNNNNNNNNNNNNNNNNNNNNNNNNNNNNNNNNNNNNNNNNNNNNNNNNNNNNNNNNNNNNNNNNNNNNNNNNNNNNNNNNNNNNNNNNNNNNNNNNNNNNNNNNNNNNNNNNNNNNNNNNNNNNNNNNNNNNNNNNNNNNNNNNNNNNNNNNNNNNNNNNNNNNNNNNNNNNNNNNNNNNNNNNNNNNNNNNNNNNNNNNNNNNNNNNNNNNNNNNNNNNNNNNNNNNNNNNNNNNNNNNNNNNNNNNNNNNNNNNNNNNNNNNNNNNNNNNNNNNNNNNNNNNNNNNNNNNNNNNNNNNNNNNNNNNNNNCCUCUACCCCGACGCUGUGCCUCUGCCCCUGCCCCGACCACGCCGCACCUCUCCUUGGUCAGGCCGGCGCCGCCCCCUUCCUCCCUGUUUUUUCCCACAUUUAUAUGAUUUUUUUUCCAGAUUAUAUGUAUAUGUAUUUGUGUAUAUAUGAUUAUAUGUCAUGUUUUUUUCAGAUUUUUUGUUCAUAUAUAUGAUGAUUUGUUUUUUGCUUUUUUAUAAAAAUGUAUAUAUGUAUGUAUGUUCUCUGUGUAUAUAUGUUCAUAUAUGCAAAAGUUAGAUUUUUAGAAAAGUUUUAUCUAUAUAUGUUCUCUUAUUUAGUACAUUUUAGGUUAGUUUCAUUUUUUAAAUUUUUUUAUAUAUUUAGGAAGAAGGAAGAAGGAAGAAGAAGAAGAAGAAAAAGUUUUAUAUAUCUAGCUAGGAAGAAGGAAGAAGAAGAAAAAGAAGGAGAGGAAAAAGGAAAAUAACAAGAGGAAGAAAUUAAAGGAGAAGAAGAGGAGAGGAAGAAGAGGAGAAAUAAAUAAGAAGAGGAAAAAAGAAGAAAAAGAAGAGGAGAAGAAGAAAGGAAUAGAGGAGAAGAAGAAGAAACAGAAAAUAUUCUAUUUUUUUCUUCUCCUCUAUUCCUUUCUUCUUCUCCUCUUUUUAUUUCUUCUUCGUUUUCUUUUUUUUAUCGGGUGUGUCGUUGUCGAUAUACCCCCUCCCGAUAACUUCAACACGAGGGGGGGUCGAUAUACCCCCUCCCCGAUAACAUUAUUUUCCCAUGUAUGUAUGUCGUCGUUGUCAAUAUAACCCCCUCCCGGAUAACUUCGACAUGAGGGGCGGUCGAUAUAUAUACCCCCUCUCGACCGUGAUAACUUAUACCACGGGAGCACCCCCCGGCCCUCUCGCUCAACCAAAACUCUCGAGGACACCCAAACCCUAGAAAAAACGAUGUCCGUCUCCUACCCCCUCCCGCCGCGCCCCUACCCGACAAACUCUCUCGAGGCCACCCAAAUUUACCAAGUUAAAAGAGCGUUGUCGUCGAGGCCACCCCAAACCCUUGAAGCAUUGUCGAGGCCACCCCAAACCCUUGAAGCAUUGCCGAGGCCACCCCCAAACCCUUGAGAAGCAGCGUCGAGGCCACUAAUAUGAUUCCUUAUUGUGAUUAGGUAGCUAGUUCUACGUUUGCCACUAAUAUAUCCAUCUGUCAUGUUUGAAUAAUAAUUUCCAUGUUGUAAAUAUUUGCAGAAACUAUGGAGCACCCCCGAGACGAAGCAACAGAAGCGGUGUUGGGGACACAAUCGCACAAGGAAGUGAUGUCGUCUUGUCGUUUCUCAACGACAGCGAUGGUCUGGAAGGACAGGGUGAAGAAGAAGGCUACGGUGAUCAAACAAUGGAGGAGGAAGGACAUGAUUAUGAUGGCUCCGGUGACCCAAUGCCGGUGCAAGAAGGAGACCGUGAUGACGGCUCCGGUGACCGAACCGAGUCCGGCCAAGUAUAUAUAUAUUAGUUAAGCCUGUGCUGACUAGCUAAUUGAUGCAUUCAUUGUUUUGGUAUGUACACAUAUUAAUUAACUCUCGUCUUCUUUUUUCUAGCCCUCCGGAUCGAGCACAACUUCGGUAAAGAGACGAGGCCCGAAGAAAAAGUUGCGCUCGGACAAAAGGUUUGAGGUCACAGCAAUCGCGCGCGAUGGCAUGCCGAUUGAACCCAUCCGGACAAACGAAGCAUUUGCUGCUCAGUGCGGGGUUCUUGUUAGGGACAAGAUCCCGAUCAGCAUCCACCAAUGGUUUAAGCCUAAGAACGAAGACCCUGAGGUGUCUUAUGUCGACGAUAUGCAGAAAGAUGAUCUUUGGACCGCGCUGAAGGCAAAUUUCACCCAACCGCCAAAGGACGAUCCGGAGAAGCCAGUUAAAGAGCAAUUGACCAAGUCUCAUGCUCUUAACAAGAUGGCAGAACUAUUCAGGAGGUGGAAGAAUGAGCUGAAAACAUCGUUUGUCGACAAAGAAAAGACACCAGAAUUCAUCGGCCGGUAUGAGAAGAUCAGAGAUCACUGGCCCGCAUUUGUGGCCCACAAGACAUCGGAAAAGAGUAAGAAGAUGUCAGCGACAAACAAGAAAAAUGCUGCGAAGAAGAAGCUUCACCAUCGCACGGGGUCAGGUGGCUACCUCAAAGCCCGGCCGUUGUGGUCCAAGGGUGAGAAGGACCUGCUUGAUAAAGGGGUCGAACCAGAGACAUUGAACUGGCCAAACCGUCGCCGGACUUGGUUCUUCGGGGUUGGCGGAACCUUGGACCAUGUAUAUCGAUGCAGCGCAGAAAGGGACGUUCGUUCCAGACAGAGAGAACGACGAGCUCACAAUGGCCCUCGGGAAUCCUGAGCACCCUGGACGGACACGAGGCACGCCAGGCUCCGUUCCAUGGAGGGCUGGGUUUCCGGACGCAGGCGGUUACAAAUGCCAGGAGAGGAGGAAGAAAGUGGAGCAUACCCAACUACAGGCGCUGCACGCAAGGGUACAAGGUUUAGAGGAAUGAGAAGCAGAUCGCAGCAAACGACAUGCCGAAGCUUCCCCCGAAGCUACCCCGCCAUCUCAGCGGAGAAGCAGUGUGGCUUCCACCGAGCUGCUUCAGCAGGAGCCUGUCUUCACGGCUCCUGCUAGCUACCCCGUGGAUGCUAUCACGGAGUCUCAACAUUGCCACCUUAUGACGCAAUGGAUGAAAUUCGAAGUCAAGGCGGCUGUUGGCUCUGUUGCACCUCCUGAACCUGGCGCGACCUAUCACUGCCGGCCGAUUCCAGAAGGAUAUGCUAGGGUGAUGGUGGAUGAAAUAACGGACGGAUUUGAGGACCUCGAGCUUGACCACCCUACGGGUGAAGGGGAGACUCGGCUGGGUUCUUCUCUGAAGACUCCACGCCUAUGGCGGAAGGAGCUCAUCAACCUUCCGAACCGGACGCCUCUGCGUCCUCCUCCUCCGGCGAGUUAGGGCACUCCGCCUCCUCCUCCGCCUCCUCCUCCGGCGAGUGAUCAGGGCACUCAGCCUCCUUCUCCGGCGCGUGUCGGCACUCCGCCUCCUUCUCUGCCUGCGCCGGCGCGCCAGAGCAGCCAGCCUCCUCCUUCUCCGCCUCGCCAGCAAGGGCGGAAGAGACCCGCCGCCGCUUCGGCUGCUCUGGCGCGUCGUAGUCCUUCUCCUCCGCCUCGUAAGCAACAAAAGAAGACAGCCGCAGCCGCUCCGUCUACUCCGGCGUCUAGCAGCACAGCUAGAGGCGGGAGGCAAUACAGAUUCGGUCCUUCUCUGAAGACUCCGCUGUAGUUACCAUACGAGAGGACCGUGGAGGAAAACAUGAAUAUCGUGCGAGCCGAAGUGAAGGACUUCUUUGAUGGGGCGAAAGCAAAGAAACAUCCGCCUCCGGAGGAGAAGAUAGAUCCGGUGAAAGCGAAGCGCACUGUGGAUGCCCUGAAUAAACCACCAAAGUCUCCGCCGAAAGCCAACUAUGACCGCAUUAUUGAAAAGUCAUUUCUCGAAGUGACGCGGUCGGGAAGUACUAUCAGUGAUCAAAGGUUAGCAGAACGACGAGCUGGGAAAAAAAUUGCUCAGCUCGGCGAACAAGCGAACCAAUCGUGUCCCCCGCUCAAGGUGUCUAGCGAUAUCGUUGCUAAUGAUCCGCGGAUGAUGCCCGGUUAUACCAAUCUUGGAGAUUACCUGCCCGACGAUGUACAUUAUUAUUUCUUGGAGGUGGACGAACACAGAUACGAGUACGGGAAGCCUCUCAUCAAAGAUGAAAGAUCUCUAACAACGAUGAUGCGAAGAUUCCAUGAUUGGUACAUGAAAACCUACAGAGAGUCUAGGGGGACGAAUAUUUUGACGCUGAGAGUUAAAGAGGAGCAUGACCUCGUUGGAAUUGAACUGUUGAAUGUUCCAUUUAAGGAGUUAUUCCAGUUUUUCAAUCAACAGGCCCUCGAUAAAUUAACGGUCAUUUGCUACUGUCUGUAAGUACUACUUCUGUCAUUAAGUCUCUAUAUAUAGGUCAGCUCUUUUAUUGCAUGUCUAUACCUAUACCUAUACCUAUACCUAUACCUAUACCUAUACCUACCUAUACUAAUUACAGACUCCCUAGAAAUUCCCACGUUAAUCAGUAAUUAACAGCCGUUCAUCCUAGUGGGACCGAAUUAUUACGAUGUAGAUCUUCCAAAAUUGUCAUAGGUUCGUUAGAGAAAAAAAAACAGAUGUUUGAAAGAAAAAGAAAAA